AUCGUGAAUUCGUGACUGUAGUGACUGCUUAUGACGGAAUUGACUCGAAGUUCGUACUCGUACCUUCCUUUGGUUGAGAAAAAGCUUGAAAUACCUUGACUUCGCUCGAGUACCAGUUGGCAAUGGGCUGUGCUACCUGGGUUGCUCGAGUAUUGAAGACUUCAAAUUUUUCUUCAGUUUCUCAGUCAUUACAUUCAGUGAGUGAAAAAAUGAGUAAUACUCCAGAACACAGUUCAAGGAAAGAUAACAGAGGAAAUCGGAGGAAAUUAUUUUUUGGGGAAGAAGGAACAGCAGCAGAAAGUCACUCUUCUAAUGAACAAAGGGCAG